GGGUUGUGAGGUUAAGCGACUAAGCGUACACGGUGGAUGCCCUGGCAGUCAGAGGCGAUGAAGGACGUGCUAAUCUGCGAUAAGCGCCGGUAAGGUGAUAUGAACCGUUAUAACCGGCGAUUUCCGAAUGGGGAAACCCAGUGUGACUCGUCACACUAUCAUUAACUGAAUCCAUAGGUUAAUGAGGCGAACCGGGGGAACUGAAACAUCUAAGUACCCCGAGGAAAAGAAAUCAACCGAGAUUCCCCCAGUAGCGGCGAGCGAACGGGGAGGAGCCCAGAGCCUGAAUCAGCAUGUGUGUUAGUGGAAGCGUCUGGAAAGGCGCGCGAUACAGGGUGACAGCCCCGUACACAAAAGCGCAUGUGCUGUGAGCUCGAUGAGUAGGGCGGGACACGUGGUAUCCUGUCUGAAUAUGGGGGGACCAUCCUCCAAGGCUAAAUACUCCUGACUGACCGAUAGUGAACCAGUACCGUGAGGGAAAGGCGAAAAGAACCCCGGCGAGGGGAGUGAAAAAGAACCUGAAACCGUGUACGUACAAGCAGUGGGAGCACAGGUUUACCUGUGUGACUGCGUACCUUUUGUAUAAUGGGUCAGCGACUUAUAUUCUGUAGCAAGGUUAACCGCAUAGGGGAGCCGGAGGGAAACCGAGUCUUAACCGGGCGUUAAGUUGCAGGGUAUAGACCCGAAACCCGGUGAUCUAGCCAUGGGCAGGUUGAAGGUUGGGUAACACUAACUGGAGGACCGAACCGACUAAUGUUGAAAAAUUAGCGGAUGACCUGUGGCUGGGGGUGAAAGGCCAAUCAAACCGGGAGAUAGCUGGUUCUCCCCGAAAGCUAUUUAGGUAGCGCCUCGUGAAUUCAUCUCCGGGGGUAGAGCACUGUUUCGGCUAGGGGGCCAUCCCGGCUUACCAACCCGAUGCAAACUGCGAAUACCGGAGAAUGUUAUCACGGGAGACACACGGCGGGUGCUAACGUCCGUCGUGAAGAGGGAAACAACCCAGACCGCCAGCUAAGGUCCCAAAGUCAUGGUUAAGUGGGAAACGAUGUGGGAAGGCCCAGACAGCCAGGAUGUUGGCUUAGAAGCAGCCAUCAUUUAAAGAAAGCGUAAUAGCUCACUGGUCGAGUCGGCCUGCGCGGAAGAUGUAACGGGGCUAAACCAUGCACCGAAGCUGCGGCAGCGACGCUGAUGCGUUGUUGGGUAGGGGAGCGUUCUGUAAGCCUGCGAAGGUGGCCUGUGAGGGUUGCUGGAGGUAUCAGAAGUGCGAAUGCUGACAUAAGUAACGAUAAAGCGGGUGAAAAGCCCGCUCGCCGGAAGACCAAGGGUUCCUGUCCAACGUUAAUCGGGGCAGGGUGAGUCGACCCCUAAGGCGAGGCCGAAAGGCGUAGUCGAUGGGAAACGGGUUAAUAUUCCCGUACUUGGUGUUACUGCGAAGGGGGGACGGAGAAGGCUAUGUUGGCCGGGCGACGGUUGUCCCGGUUUAAGCGUGUAGGUGUGUGUUCCAGGUAAAUCCGGUUCACUUUAACACUGAGGCGUGAUGACGAGGCACUACGGUGCUGAAGCAACAAAUGCCCUGCUUCCAGGAAAAGCCUCUAAGCAUCAGGUAACAUCAAAUCGUACCCCAAACCGACACAGGUGGUCAGGUAGAGAAUACCAAGGCGCUUGAGAGAACUCGGGUGAAGGAACUAGGCAAAAUGGUGCCGUAACUUCGGGAGAAGGCACGCUGACACGUAGGUGAAGUGAUUUACUCAUGGAGCUGAAGUCAGUCGAAGAUACCAGCUGGCUGCAACUGUUUAUUAAAAACACAGCACUGUGCAAACACGAAAGUGGACGUAUACGGUGUGACGCCUGCCCGGUGCCGGAAGGUUAAUUGAUGGGGUCAGCGCAAGCGAAGCUCCUGAUCGAAGCCCCGGUAAACGGCGGCCGUAACUAUAACGGUCCUAAGGUAGCGAAAUUCCUUGUCGGGUAAGUUCCGACCUGCACGAAUGGCGUAAUGAUGGCCAGGCUGUCUCCACCCGAGACUCAGUGAAAUUGAACUCGCUGUGAAGAUGCAGUGUACCCGCGGCAAGACGGAAAGACCCCGUGAACCUUUACUAUAGCUUGACACUGAACAUUGAGCCUUGAUGUGUAGGAUAGGUGGGAGGCUUUGAAGUGUGGACGCCAGUCUGCAUGGAGCCGACCUUGAAAUACCACCCUUUAAUGUUUGAUGUUCUAACGUGGACCCGUAAUCCGGGUUGCGGACAGUGUCUGGUGGGUAGUUUGACUGGGGCGGUCUCCUCCUAAAGAGUAACGGAGGAGCACGAAGGUUGGCUAAUCCUGGUCGGACAUCAGGAGGUUAGUGCAAUGGCAUAAGCCAGCUUGACUGCGAGCGUGACGGCGCGAGCAGGUGCGAAAGCAGGUCAUAGUGAUCCGGUGGUUCUGAAUGGAAGGGCCAUCGCUCAACGGAUAAAAGGUACUCCGGGGAUAACAGGCUGAUACCGCCCAAGAGUUCAUAUCGACGGCGGUGUUUGGCACCUCGAUGUCGGCUCAUCACAUCCUGGGGCUGAAGUAGGUCCCAAGGGUAUGGCUGUUCGCCAUUUAAAGUGGUACGCGAGCUGGGUUUAGAACGUCGUGAGACAGUUCGGUCCCUAUCUGCCGUGGGCGCUGGAGAACUGAGGGGGGCUGCUCCUAGUACGAGAGGACCGGAGUGGACGCAUCACUGGUGUUCGGGUUGUCAUGCCAAUGGCACUGCCCGGUAGCUAAAUGCGGAAGAGAUAAGUGCUGAAAGCAUCUAAGCACGAAACUUGCCCCGAGAUGAGUUCUCCCUGAGACUUAGAGUCUCCUGAAGGAACGUUGAAGACGACGACGUUGAUAGGCCGGGUGUGUAAGCGCAGCGAUGCGUUGAGCUAACCGGUACUAAUGAACCGUGAGGCUUAACCUUACAACGCCGAAG
rnacentral:rRNA from 1 species